AUAGACUAAUUAGCUCGCUCGGUCACAAAUUUUUAGAGAAAACAUUCGCGCAUGCGCCGUAUGCUCGAGCAUGCGCAGUCGACUGGACGAAGUUCAUGUUAAUGGCAACGACCAACUGCAUCUAUUGGCACCGAUUUUAAAGUGAAUAGCCCGUGGAAUGACUACCUGAGAACUACCAGGUGGUUAUGGUCGUGUCAAACCUGAUCUUGUUACCUACGGUUCUGGAGUGAGGAGUUCUAAGUUGAGAGGUGGUUGUCGAUCGUUGUCCGCUACAAGCGUUGCAUCUCCUGUUGUUGCUGGCGCUGACACCUUAUUACUGACGUCAUGGUAAACUAGAUCUCAUAAAGGCAUAUUAAGUAUUAUCCAGUUAUAAACUUCAAACCAGUCUGAGUCCGAGUUACGUGGAUCUGAUGGAGUGUCCGUAUAUGUGGCCAUAUUGUGAACAACCUCUCUACGCGUUUAGUGUCGCUGUCAUUGUGA